rnacentral:rRNA from 1 species
ACACGACUACAUUAGAUACCCGUGUAGUCCUAGCCGUAAACGAUACUCGCUAGGUGUCGGCCACGGUGCGACCGUUGUCGGUGCCGUAGGGAAGCCGUGAAGCGAGCCACCUGGGAAGUACGGCCGCAAGGCUGAAACUUAAAGGAAUUGGUGGGGGAGCACCACAACGGGUGGAGCUUGCGGUUUAAUUGGAUUCAACGCCGGAAAUCUUACCGGGACCGACAGCAACAUGAAGGCCAGGCUGAAGACUUUGCCGGAUUAGCUG